UACUGUCAACACAGCGUGUAAUUCAUAGUACAGUGUGUUCGAAUCCGUACAAAGUACAAUACAGCGCUCGAAUACGCGACGUACGUAGUGCACAGUGUCAGCUGUACAAUAUCACGUACAAUAAUAAAAAUCUGUGAAUAAUAUGAUGUUUUGAAAAUGAAAUGAAUUGAAAACAGAUAUUGUGAACUCUGGGUUAAAAGCUACACCAAAUCUUGAAGUAUAUAUGGAUGAGUGACUGUGGAAAAUUUGGGAUUAAAUCUUCGUGAUUCCUCGACACUUGGUGAAAUAUUGAAAACAAGGCUGGCUCUAGGUGUCAGGGGCAAGGUUAUAUUCAAGGUUAAA